UUAGUUUUUUAAUUGAAAACUGGAAUGAAAGGUUUGAUGAGAAAAUAGCUGUCUCUUUAUUUUAUAUAGAAUUUUAUUUUUGAGUUAAAAAGCUCAAAUUUUCUUGAGGGACGAGAAGACCCUAUAGAGUUUCAGGAUUAAUUUAUUUAAAGAAGAAUUGCUUAUUAUAUAAUUUAUUUAUUUAAUCUUUUGAUUGGGGUGAUUGAAAAAUUAAUUGAACUUUUUCUUGGAUAAACAUUAAUUAAUGGCUAAAUUGAUCCUGUAAAACUGAUUAAAAGAAAUAAUUACCUUAGGGAUAACAGCGUAAUCUUUUUUUAGAGCUCUAAUCGAGAAAAGGGGUUGCGA
rnacentral:rRNA from 1 species